UACAGAGGGGGCAAGCGUUGUUCGGAAUUACUGGGCGUAAAGGGCGCGUAGGCGGCCUUCUAAGUCGAACGUGAAAUCCCCGGGCUCAACCCGGGAACUGCGUCCGAUACUGGGAGGCUUGAAUCCGGGAGAGGGAUGUGGAAUUCCAGGUGUAGCGGUGAAAUGCGUAGAUAUCAGGAGGAACACCGAUGGCGAAGGCAGCUCGCUGGGACGGUACUGACGCUGAGGCGCGAAAGCGUGGGGAGCAAACAGG
rnacentral:rRNA from 1 species